GUCCGCCAUGUUGGUUUCCCUUCAGGUCCCAGUCCGCCAUGUUGGUUUCCCUUCAGGUCCCAGUCCGCCAUGUUGGUUUCCCUUCAGGUCCCAGUCCGCCAUGUUGGUUUCCCUUCAGGUCCCAGUCCGCCAUGUUGGUUUCCCUUCAGGUCCCAGUCCGCCAUGUUGGUUUCCCUUCAGGUCCCAGUCCGCCAUGUUGGUUUCCCUUCAGGUCCCAGUCCACCAUGUUGGUUUCCCUUCAGGUCCCAGUCCACCAUGUUGGUUUCCCUUCAGGUCCCAGUCCACCAUGUUGGUUUCCCUUCAGGUCCCAGUCCACCAUGUUGGUUUCCCUUCAGGUCCCAGUCCACCAUGUUGGUUUCCCUUCAGGUCCCAGUCCACCAUGUUGGUUUCCCUUCAGGUCCCAGUCCACCAUGUUGGUUUCCCUUCAGGUCCCAGUCCGCCAUGUUGGUUUGUGGGAUGUGUCACAUAUGAGGGCUGUGUCUGUGUGACACUGGCAAGGGUUAUCUAGUGCACACCGACAUGUCCCUGAUGAGGAGUGACAGGGCGGUGGUCUGGUCUACUGGUCUGGUACAGACACAAAUACACAGACAUGUCCCUGAUGAGGAGUGACAGGGCGGUGGUCUGGUCUACUGGUCUGGUACAGACACAAACACACAGACAUGUCCCUGAUGAGGAGUGACAGGGCGGUGGUCUGGUCUACUGGUCUGGUACAGACACAAACACACAGACAUGUCCCUGAUGAGGAGUGACAGGGCGGUGGUCUGGUCUACUGGUCUGGUACAGACACAAACACACAGACAUGUCCCUGAUGAGGAGUGACAGGGCGGUGGUCUGGUCUACUGGUCUGGUACAGAUACAAACACACAGACAUGUCCCUGAUGAGGAGUGACAGGGCGGUGGUCUGGUCUCCUGGUUCGGUACAUACACACAAAACCCCAACAACUG